AUUGAACGCUGGCGGCGCGCCUAACACAUGCAAGUCGAACGAGCGAGAGAGAGCUUGCUUUCUCAAGCGAGUGGCGAACGGGUGAGUAACGCGUGAGGAACCUGCCUCAAAGAGGGGGACAACAGUUGGAAACGACUGCUAAUACCGCAUAAGCCCAACGACCCGGCAUCGGGUAGAGGGAAAAGGAGCAAUCCGCUUUGAGAUGGCCUCGCGUCCGAUUAGCUAGUUGGUGAGGUAAUGGGCCCACCAAGGCGACGAUCGGUAGCCGGACUGAGAGGUUGAACGGCCACAUUGGGACUGAGACACGGCCCAGACUCCUACGGGAGGCAGCAGUGGGGAAUAUUGCACAAUGGAGGAAACUCUGAUGCAGCGACGCCGCGUGAGCGAAGAAGUAUUUCGGUAUGUAAAGCUCUGUCAGCAGGGAAGAUAAUGACGGUACCUGACCAAGAAGCCCCGGCUAACUACGUG
rnacentral:rRNA from 1 species